rnacentral:pre_miRNA from 1 species
GGUUUUAACUGAAAAAGUCAUCAACAAUAAAGUUAUAUAACUUAUCAAGACCCAUAGCUUUUAUUUUGGUUAUUUUUUCAUCUGACAAAGUGAUAAUAACAUUGUUCACAAAAUUUACAUAUCUCUCCUAUAGUUCAUAAACUAUAUAAGAGGUACGUUCAUUUUGUGAAUAAUGUUACAAAUCACUUUGUCAGAUGAAUAAAUGACUCAAAUAAAAGUUAUAGGUCUUAAUGAGUUAUACUACUUUAUUAUUGAUGACUUUUUCAGUUGAAGUU